rfam:Triticum aestivum genome assembly, contig: Triticum_aestivum_CS42_TGACv1_scaffold_425173_5BS
GCUCAGUUGGUAAAGCACAAGGCUCUUAACCUUGUGGACGUGGAUUCAAGUCCCAC